rnacentral:rRNA from 1 species
UACCUGCAGAAAAAGCGCCGGCUAACUACGUGCCAGCAGCCGCGGUAAUACGUAGGGCGCAAGCGUUAUCCGGAAUUAUUGGGCGUAAAGAGCUCGUAGGCGGUUUGUCGCGUCUGCUGUGAAAUCCCGAGGCUCAACCUCGGGCCUGCAGUGGGUACGGGCAGACUAGAGUGCGGUAGGGGAGAUUGGAAUUCCUGGUGUAGCGGUGGAAUGCGCAGAUAUCAGGAGGAACACCGAUGGCGAAGGCAGAUCUCUGGGCCGUAACUGACGCUGAGGAGCGAAAGGGUGGGGAGCAAACAGGCUUAGAUACCCUGGUAGUCCACCCCGUAAACGUUGGGAACUAGUUGUGGGGACCAUUCCACGGUUUCCGUGACGCAGCUAACGCAUUAAGUUCCCCGCCUGGGGAGUACGGCCGCAAGGCUAAAACUCAAAGGAAUUGACGGGGACCCGCACAAGCGGCGGAGCAUGCGGAUUAAUUCGAUGCAACGCGAAGAACCUUACCAAGGCUUGACAUAUACGAGAACGGGCCAGAAAUGGUCAACUCUUUGGACACUCGUAAACAGGUGGUGCAUGGUUGUCGUCAGCUCGUGUCGUGAGAUGUUGGGUUAAGUCCCGCAACGAGCGCAACCCUCGUUCUAUGUUGCCAGCACGUAAUGGUGGGAACUCAUGGGAUACUGCCGGGGUCAACUCGGAGGAAGGUGGGGAUGACGUCAAAUCAUCAUGCCCCUUAUGUCUUGGGCUUCACGCAUGCUACAAUGGCCGGUACAAAGGGCUGCAAUACCGUGAGGUGGAGCGAAUCCCAAAAAGCCGGUCCCAGUUCGGAUUGAGGUCUGCAACUCGACCUCAUGAAGUCGGAGUCGCUAGUAAUCGCAGAUCAGCAACGCUGCGGUGAAUACGUUCCCGGGUCUUGUACACACCGCCCGUCAAGUCAUGAAAGUCGGUAACACCUGAAGCCGGUGGCCCAACCCUUGUGGAGGU